rnacentral:rRNA from 1 species
UACGUAGGGUGCGAGCGUUGUCCGGAAUUACUGGGCGUAAAGAGCUCGUAGGUGGUUUGUCGCGUCGUCUGUGAGAUUCCGGGGCUUAACCUCGGGCGUGCAGGCGAUACGGGCAAUACUUGAGUGCUGUAGGGGAGACUGGAAUUCCUGGUGUAGCGGUGAAAUGCGCAGAUAUCAGGAGGAACACCAAUGGCGAAGGCAGGUCUCUGGGCAGUUACUGACGCUGAGAAGCGAAAGCAUGGGGAGCGAACAGGAUUAGA